rnacentral:snRNA from 1 species
GUGCUUGCUUCUGCAGCACAUUUGAUAAAACUGGAAUGAUACAGAGAAGAAUAGCAUGGUCCCUGUGCAAGGAUGACACACAAAUUUAUGAAGUGUCCCAUAUUUAU